rnacentral:lncRNA from 1 species
AAUAAAGAAAAUAAAAAUAAAUUGGUUGGAAUGGUUUAUAUUGGAUUUAAACACAGAUCCAUAAAUCAAUCCAAAAAUAUUGGAUUUCUCAUUUUGCUAUCCAAUCCAAUCCAAUUAAAAGGUCAAUCCAAUAAGAAUUGGAUUGAUUUAGAUUAGUUCAAUUGGUUUGAAUUAGAUCUUGAACAACCCUAAUCAAAAGUUAUGGAAUUGUACCAUUAUUUGAAAUAGCUCUUUUAUAAUUAACUUCUAUGGUCACCAAAAGAUAAAUUUAUAGUAGACACCCUAAAAAUUUAUUGAGACUAACUAAGAAAUCUACUCCAACUUAUAUUGAUAAAUAUUUAUCUCUACCCACAUUUGUGAAAAGAAAAAACCAAACAUCAUUACUUUGAGAUUGAGAGAUGUUGUGAUGGAUGCCUUGGAUGUUCAAUAUAAGUGAGAGACUUGUAGAUUUAGAUAUUCUCAAGUAAAAAGUUGGUGUUGCUAAAUAAUUUAGUUCAUGUAUUUUUAAUUUUUUUUUUUAAAAAAGCAAACAAUUCCAGUUAUACCUUAACUAUGAUGAUAAACUGAAGGAGGCUACAAGGUUGAUUACCCAAACGCUUGAGUGGAUCAUCCGGAACGAGAUUGGGUUAAAGUAUUUUAUGCCGACCGUGCAAAAAGUGCAAAUAAAAAAUUUAUGUCGGCCUUCCCAUCAAUUUAAUAAACGUGUUAUUAAAUAAAUGACAUAAUGGGAAUUAAUGGAGCCGAAGUCCCGAUAUGAACACAGCAGUAGUAGUAGUGUAGUACACUAAUGAUAGCCGCAAAGAAGCACUUGUAAAAGGCGGAUCAAAAUUCUUACAUAUUGAUUGCUGAUGAUACACACACUCUCGUCGGCCGAAAAAGGCUUGAAAUUAUUUGAUUAAAAAUUUAUUGUGGUAGGAGGGAAACCCACUUAUGUCGACAAGGAAACCCACUUAUGUCGACAAGG